AUACGUAGGGAGCGAGCGUUGUCCGGAAUUACUGGGUGUAAAGGGCGUGUAGGCGGAGAUGCAAGUCAGGAGUGAAAUCUAGGGGCUCAACCCCUAAACUGCUUUUGAAACUGUAUCCCUUGAGUAUCGGAGAGGCAGGCGGAAUUCCCAGUGUAGCGGUGAAAUGCGUAGAUAUUAGGAGGAACACCAGUGGCGAAGGCGGCCUGCUGGACGACAACUGACGCUGAGGCGCGAAAGCGUGGGGAGCAAACAGGAUUAGAUACCCUGGUAGUCCACGCUGUAAACGAUGAAUACUAGGUGUGGGGGGACUGACCCCCUCCGUGCCGCAGUUAACACAAUAAGUAUUCCACCUGGGGAGUACGAUCGCAAGAUUGAAACUCAAAGGAAUUGACGGGG
rnacentral:rRNA from 1 species